rnacentral:rRNA from 1 species
AUUGAACGCUGGCGGCAGGCCUAACACAUGCAAGUCGAGCGAGCGGCGGACGGGUGAGUAAUGUCUGGGAAACUGCCUGAUGGAGGGGGAUAACUACUGGAAACGGUAGCUAAUACCGCAUACCAUCAGAUGUGCCCAGAUGGGAUUAGCUAGUAGGUGGGGUAACGGCUCACCUAGGCGACGAUCCCUAGCUGGUCUGAGAGGAUGACCAGCCACACUGGAACGGUGACACGGACCGGACGCCUACGUGAGGCAGCAGUGGGGAAUAUGGCGCAAUGGUGGCAAGCCUGAUGCAGCCAUGCCGCGUGUGUGAAGAAGGCCUUCGGGUUGUAAAGCACGUUCAGCGGGGAGGCGUUACCCGCAGAAGAAGCACCGGCUAACUCCGUGCCAGCCGCCGCGGUAAUUC